rnacentral:rRNA from 1 species
UACGUAGGGGGCAAGCGUUGUCCGGAAUUAUUGGGCGUAAAGCGCACGUAGGCGGCUUUUCAAGUCCCAUGUGAAAGCCCACGGCUUAACCGUGGAAGUGCAUGGGAAACUGGAAGCUUGAGUACUUAAGAGGAUCGCGGAAUUCCCGGUGUAGAGGUGAAAUUCGUAGAUAUCGGGAGGAACACCAGUGGCGAAGGCGGCGAUCUGGGAAGAUACUGACGCUGAGGUGCGAAAGCGUGGGGAGCAAACAGG